UCAGGCUCAGAACGAACGCUGGCGGCAGGCUUAACACAUGCAAGUCGAGCGCACCUUCGGGUGAGCGGCGGACGGGUUAGUAACGCGUGGGAACAUACCCUUUGGUACGGAAUAGCCUCUGGAAACGGAGAGUAAUACCGUAUGAGCCCUUCGGGGGAAAGAUUUAUCGCCAAAGGAUUGGCCCGCGUUAGAUUAGGUAGUUGGUGGGGUAAUGGCCUACCAAGCCUACGAUCUAUAGCUGGUUUUAGAGGAUGAUCAGCAACACUGGGACUGAGACACGGCCCAGACUCCUACGGGAGGCAGCAGUGGGGAAUCUUGGACAAUGGGGGCAACCCUGAUCCAGCCAUGCCGCGUGAGUGAUGAAGGCCUUAGGGUCGUAAAGCUCUUUCGCCUGUGAAGAUAAUGACGGUAGCAGGUAAAGAAACCCCGGCUAACUCCGUGCCAGCAGCCGCGGUAAUACGGAGGGGGUUAGCGUUGUUCGGAAUUACUGGGCGUAAAGCGCACGUAGGCGGACUGGAAAGUUGGGGGUGAAAUCCCAGGGCUCAACCCUGGAACUGCCUCCAAAACUAUCAGUCUAGAGUUCGAGAGAGGUGAGUGGAAUUCCGAGUGUAGAGGUGAAAUUCGUAGAUAUUCGGAGGAACACCAGUGGCGAAGGCGGCUCACUGGCUCGAUACUGACGCUGAGGUGCGAAAGUGUGGGGAGCAAACAGGAUUAGAUACCCUGGUAGUCCACACCGUAAACGAUGAAUGCCAGUCGUCGGGUAGCAUGCUAUUCGGUGACACACCUAACGGAUUAAGCAUUCCGCCU
rnacentral:rRNA from 1 species